AGGACGAACGCUGGCGGCGUGCCUAAUACAUGCAAGUCGAGCGGACAGAUGGGAGCUUGCUCCCUGAUGUUAGCGGCGGACGGGUGAGUAACACGUGGGUAACCUGCCUGUAAGACUGGGAUAACUCCGGGAAACCGGGGCUAAUACCGGAUGCUUGAUUGAACCGCAUGGUUCAAUUAUAAAAGGUGGCUUUCAGCUACCACUUACAGAUGGACCCGCGGCGCAUUAGCUAGUUGGUGAGGUAACGGCUCACCAAGGCAACGAUGCGUAGCCGACCUGAGAGGGUGAUCGGCCACACUGGGACUGAAACACGGCCCAAACUCCUACGGGAGGCAGCAGUAGGGAAUCUUCCGCAAUGGACGAAAGUCUGACGGAGCAACGCCGCGUGAGUGAUGAAGGUUUUCGGAUCGUAAAACUCUGUUGUUAGGGAAAAACAAGUACCGUUCGAAUAGGGCGGUACCUUGACGGUACCUAACCAGAAAGCCACGGCUAACUACGUGCCAGCAGCCGCGGUAAUACGUAGGUGGCAAGCGUUGUCCGGAAUUAUUGGGCGUAAAGCGCGCGCAGGCGGUUUCUUAAGUCUGAUGUGAAAGCCCCCGGCUCAACCGGGGAGGGUCAUUGGAAACUGGGGAACUUGAGUGCAAAAAAGGAGAGUGGAAUUCCACGUGUAGCGGUGAAAUGCGUAAAGAUGUGGAGGAACACCAGUGGCGAAGGCGACUCUCUGGUCUGUAACUGACGCUGAGGCGCGAAAGCGUGGGGAGCGAACAGGAUUAGAUACCCUGGUAGUCCACGCCGUAAACGAUGAGUGCUAAGUGUUAGAGGGUUUCCGCCCUUUAGUGCUGCAGCAAACGCAUUA
rnacentral:rRNA from 2 species